CUUAUUUUUUUAAGUCCUCCAUUUUUUCACAGAACAGGUAGAACACAGACAACAGAAAUUCAACUUUCCCCACAUUGCCCUGCCAGUGUGCUGCGAGCCUGACCUGAGGGGGUGGGGUUGGGGCAAGAAGGCAGCUCAUCCAUUCAGUCUAGGGCCAUU
rnacentral:sRNA from 1 species